AAAAACUCGCCGCCUCAACUCCCCCAUACGCCGCCGCGAUAACCGACAGCUCCGUCCGGAUGAGGCGACGCCGGACUCCCCUCCAUCUCCAAGUUUCUACCCCCACCGCCCCCAGCUGCCGCCGGCCGGACAAUCGAACCGUUCAACCCAUCCACCAGCCACAGCUCCCCGCCACCCGCUUCAACCUUCAAUAAUGCGAACGGCAUCGCCUCCUCUGCCGCAACCACAAACCCCGUUUCCGCCGCCGGCCACCAGGUGAACGGAGCGGCAUCACUUUACGAGCAGGUGGACGUUGCAAGCGCUACUAUUCCUUUCCCCCAUGCUAUCUCGCAAUGGAUGUGCGCCUGCUGAACGAACUGCCCCUCACUCAUGGGGGCACCUUGGUACAAGGUGCAUUCAAAUUGAAUUUACAGGUGAUCGAUCCAUUUAAACAUAGUGUUUGUCAAAUUGCUUGGAAUAGUGUAUUUGCUUAGUGUCACAAUAUGGGAGCUUCUUCUGAUGUUUUAGAAUGUUACUAACUCUGUACCUUAAUAUAAGACGUUUUUGAACUGCAAAAACUUCUUAUAUUAAGACAAAGAGGUAGUAUUCGUCAUUCUUUUCAUCUAUGAUGUGCUCACAUACUCUUGAUGUGUUUGUAGUCCUAGAAUGAAACAGGUCCGCGGUUUCAGAUUGCAUUUGCACAUUUUUGUUAAUACAUGCCAGCUUGGAAUGGUCUAGCUCCUUUAUAGUCUUAUGGCUUUGAAGUGUAUACAUACACGCAAGGUGCUUUCGAAAUCGACAAAUUGGACAUGGUACAAAGGUGGACUGGAGAUCACAAGUUGCCUGACCAACUUCUGAAGCUGCAUGACAAUCACAAGGAUGGCAUAAGGGCAAAUGUUGUUGCUACAAUUACUACGUGAUAAGUAUGAGGUGAGAUUUGUAGAUCAGGGAGCCAAUGGAGGUAAUCACACGCGGCAUCUCUCCUGGCUGAUCAAUCAAUGUCAGUGGCCUGGGUGAGCCAUUAGUAGUUGUUGCGGCCUAGAGAACACUGUGCUUCCGCUCAAUAUCUGCUUCCUCUAUUCAGUUGACUUUUAAGCUGCAAAAGAGUCUACGGAAUGACCCGGGAGAGAGAAGACCAUCAUGCAUAGAGCUCACCAAGGCCAUAUCACAUACAGCCCCGCAAUGCUGAAAGGAGUACACUGACGCAAUGUUCACCGAGUACAUGAAUAGAUCUAGUGAUGAUGUGCGCGCUAUGGGGAAGGAUCUAGGACCAGAUCAACUGUCCUGAAUAAAAGAGCAACUGAUGCAGUGCAUAAUGGCUUUGGACUGCCAAUCAAGUGUUGGGCCGCAGCUACUUUGGUGGUGACGAAGAGGGAAACCAUGCAUUUUGACAGGAAGAUCAAGCGGGGAAGUGGGACGAACUGUGACGAUCACCACAUGGCGUCAAGUGGAAUAUAAUGCAGGUGCAGCAAACCAAAGGGGAAAACAUCAUGCGGACAACAACCCAGCCUGAAAUGCAAAAGUGAAACAACGCCACAAACAGCAAGUGAAUGAUAAUGAUACAGUGCAUCAAAUCACCAGCUGGAGAUGGAAGAACGCGUAUGUCUACAUUUGCCUGAACCAUUAUCAUGAGCAAUCCAAGUCGCUUGAUAAAAUCACCGUUAAACCUAUUUAAUGACUCAUCCAAAAUCCUCGCAUCACCAGGCACUCCCAUUGAAUGGCAAUGGCACAGUCGCACGGAGCAGAGCAACUACUGUUGAACCGAUGAACAAAGCAAAAAAAUUGAAAAGUUCGGAUGAUCUGGACAGAGAAAUAAGCUGGCCUCACAUGACUCUUGUCCACACAUCGAGUUCGGAGAUCCUUGACACAGAAGAAAACUCAUGAAGGUCUUGUAGUAUGUAGGCUCUUGGCUCACCGGGGGCUUUGACUAUGCAGCCAAACAGCCUCAGGGAUAUGUCUGUGCAUUGUUGUGGCUGGCAUCGCAACAAUGCUGCAAUCAAAACAGGUGCAACUGUGUGUAAGCAUCUAUCAGUUCUAAUGAAAUAGCAGAGGCGAUGAGGCAGACAUACCAUAAUCCAGGAAGUGAUAUGUCCGAUAGCAAUCACGCCUGCAAGAAUACUGGCAAUACAGAUGGAAGCAAACCAAGAGGGCAUUGCAUACCAAAGUGCUCCCACCUUCAGAAGGCAGAUCCCAAGGAACAUCACGCGAGCCGUGUGACCGGAACAAUCCAGGGGAAGGAUUGAUCGGGUGUUGAAGAGGCCAAAGAGCCCUCCAAUGGUUGAUGCGCUCCAUACAAUCCCAACACAAGUAAAAACUAUGGUCUGGGUCAGAUCAUCAGUCUUUUUUGUUUCUGAAUAGUCCCUCCAGGCCAAAUACGAGUGGCAGAAAAGCCAUAAAGAUCACAGUGUAAAGUGUCUGCUUUUUGCUCCAAGCGUUGCUGUCCUGCGAUUCAACGAAACAAACAUAUUGUAUGAUACUGAUGAUGAAAUAGUAUUGGUUCCAAAUA